AGGAACGUGAAUUCCAUGGAUUGAAGGAAGAAAGAGUCAGACAUCUGAUUUCGGAAUUAUCGUUGCAAACAGAGAGGAAGAACAGUCGUCUAUGAAUAAUGGAUGGGUGAGAUUAGCAGGGACAAAAAUCCAUAGUAGAGGAUAAAGAGAAGGCAAGAGAAGAUUUUGGAGAGAUGGGAAAGGCAGUGAGAAAAACUAAGAGAGGAAGCUGUGGUAAUUACCUUCUCUCUAACUAGCCUUGAACCAUUGCCCUGAUGGACUGCGUGUUAAACACAAACCAACAAGUUACGAGGAAGACCGAACCACCAAGGAAACUGGCUUGAUCUCCUAGCAAAGUCCUGCCAGCCAACCAACAUCUACAUGGUUUGGAACAUGACUUCAAGCCAAAGUUGGUUUGCAGCUCUCUGCUAGGAGAUUAGAUUAGUUGAAACCACUUUUAGUUUGACUGAUUCUUUAUCUUAUUCCUUCAAAAUCUUCUAUUACUUCCUACUGUCCCUCUUCUAUGCGUUUUUGUCCCUUGCAAAUCCCAUCAUGUCAUCUGAGAUGUAGAAAUGCAUGGUUUUACAGGGAACGCAAGAAUUUGUUGAAAGGAAUGGUUAUGAUUUCACCUUGGUUUCCUUUUUCUGUAAUCAGGUAUUAUCUUGUUAUCGGAGAAGAUCAGGUACGGUAAAGAUCACAGUGUCAUCUCGGUUUCCUUUCCCUGCAUCAAACAGGGGAGGAAUUUUAUCAUUUAAGGGAAUUUUGUAUAAUUCCUUUCAUUUUCUUGUUGAAUUUUGUUAUAAUGCUUACAAUUUUCAUUUCCUUUUUUGAAUUUUUUCCGUAGGCGUGUGAGCUGGGAUAUUUCUCAGUGUUUUCAGAACCGAGUCUAACAUAAGCAUUUCCUAGAAAGCCAGGAUGGCUCCGUGUCUAAGAGGGAAGGAGGAGGAAUAAUCAUUUAUGGGAUGUAAAUUUAGGACUGCAUUCUUUGAACUCAAAAGGAAUUUGCAAAAAGCUAGGGCAUGAAGAAAUGAAACAAAAUAUUAGCCGCCGCAGAGGCACCUUUCGUGGAAACUACAAGCGGCUUCUCAUCCUAUCAUGAACUAGGAAGCAUGUUGUUGUCACUCCCCUUCAGUAUUUUGGGCCAUUAAUUGCUUCAUAAUUGUGCACCUAGUCGAGUUUGGUAUUCGAGUUCAAGGAUCUGAAACUCGGCCAAAGUUCAGCUAGCCCGGCCCAGUGAGCUAGACCUCGAAUAGAACACGCCCAGGGAAGGAAGAAAAGCAAAAACUUUAGUCCAGAGCCGGAGCAGUGCAACGUAAUCUCGAGAAAAACAUCGACUUUUUCAUAUCUUUCAAGCUUUGUUUAUUUUAGAACUAACAAUGUAAACCAUACCUGACACCAUAUAAAGCUUUAACCCAACUUAAAUCAAAAAAUUUCCGAGGCUAAAUUUUAUAAUGUAUUGAAGAUUUUGUGAGAUGCCUUCAGUUAGGGAUCAGAUAGGUGAAGAUGGGAGUGCCCGGUUGUCGUAACCAGGGAGUGAGCUGGACACCCUUCUCGCAUGUUUAUAUGCGAGCACUGACCACUCAUCAUAUCCCGUUAAACCCUGAAGGAUCAUGAUUGGUAGGGGGUUGUUUUCUCUAUUUUAUAGCAAGGUCUGAGACCCUCCCUUUCUAUCUUGUCGAUGUGGGAUAAUAAAGGCCCACUCGCAGAUCUGGAUGGUGAUUGAGUCGAGACCCUUUUGGCCUUGCUGGGUUUUCCAUUAUAGCAAAUGACAUGUCUUUCACAUAACCGGUUGAGCACAAGUUUUUGAUGUAUUUAAAUUAUGCUUAUUA